UUCUAAGCUUGCCUCUUUUUUUUUUUUCUUUUUCUCCACAUUUUUUUCACUUUUUCCCAAAAUAUUUUUUCCUCAAAGGCCGGAAAAGAGAUGUUAGCAGUAGUAGCCAA
rnacentral:ribozyme from 1 species